CUUCUGCAGCAGCUUAUUUAAAGAGGAGCUAUUUAGACUCCCAGAGGACAGUGAAGAUGAGCGUUUAUGAGUAACAGGUAAUAAUUUCACAACUCACAGAGUGUGCGGUUUGGACGGCAGGAAGUUGGACCCGCAGAACAGAUCAGAUUACUGCUUCAAAAUGAACCAACUCAAACUGCUCAGUGACAGACAGCAUUUCGUCUUCAUCCUCAUCACCAUGUUGGCCCUUCUGUGCUCCGGCCAGAUCUUACCGAGGACAGAUCCUCCUAUACGCCCCGGCCACCCCUUCCUGUUCAUGUGGAACGCCCCGACCGAGCUGUGCGACAUCCGCUUCGGCAUGCCUCUCGACCUCUCCUACUUCCACUUUGUCAGCAGCACGCUGAGGACAGCAACCAACCAGAGCGUCUCCAUAUUCUACACCGACCGCUUCGGCAUCUUCCCCUACUUGGAUGAAGACACUGGUGAGAUGUACGAUGAGGGUCUGCCGCAGCUGGUAGACCUGGAGGAGCAUCACGAUGAAGCCGAGGAUGACAUCGAGUACUACAUCCCUUCUGACAUACCGGGCCUCGCUGUGCUUGACUUUGAGGAGUGGAGGCCGCAGUGGAUCAGAAACUGGGGCGACAAAGACAUCUAUCGAGAGAUGUCCAUUGAAACGGUCAAGAUGAAGAACCCGCUGCUUUCUGAGGACGAGGCGGAGGACAGGGCCAAGAUUGUAUUCGAACGUGCAGCCAAGAGGUACUUCCUUCGAUCCAUCCGCAUUGGCAAGAGGAUGAGACCCAAAAGACUCUGGGGUUACUACCUGUACCCCGACUGCUACAACUACGACUACAACCAGGACAUGGUGGGCUUCACUGGAGAGUGUCCCGCCAUUGAGAAGGAAAGGAACGAUGAUCUGAUGUGGCUCUGGAAAGAUUCCACAGCACUCUUUCCAUCCAUCUACCUGGAGCUGGUGCUCAGAGACUCCCAGCAGGCCCGGAAGUUUGUUCGCCAUCGCAUCCAGGAGGCCAUGAGGGUGUCAACACUCCCCAACAGAUCCUACUCCAUCCCCGUCUACGCCUACAUCCGCCCGGUGUACAAGGACAGCGUCGAUGACUACAUGUCAGAGUUUGAUCUGGUGAACACCAUCGGAGAAGCUGCUGCUCUCGGCGCCGCUGGCGUUGUUUCCUGGGGAGACAUGAACGUCACCGACACAGAGGACUCCUGCUUUGACGCUCGGCGCCACCUGGAGCGAGUCAUGAACCCGUACAUCGUGAACGUCUCCACAGCAACGCAACUCUGCAGCCAGGCGCUCUGCCAGGGCCAUGGUCGCUGUGUGAGGAAGCAGUGGGACGAUGACGUCUUCCUCCACCUUGACCCGUGGCGUUACAGCAUUGAGCAGCAACGCCGCGGCGGCCCUCUGACUGUGAGUGGCGGCCUGUCACAGGAUGACGUCAACUGGUUUGACCAAAACUUCGACUGCAUGUGCUAUAGCGAGAAGCCGUGUCGAUCGGUCCUGACGUUCAACGUCAUUAACGAGGCCUUCCUCACCACGAGGAGUCAAAGUACUGAGAAGCCCCGCCCCCUGCUGCUGGUGAUGAUACUGCUCUGUCUGAAGUAUACAGUGAUGCAGAUGUAGAUUAUUAACACAAAUGUGACACCUGUGAUACAGGACAUGUGGUUACAGGCAGACAGACACCAUUAGAACAGUGGAAAUGCAGUACGGAAAGGCGACCACUAGAUGGCAGAGCAGCCUGAUCACAGACAGAGAAGGAGGAGGAGGAGGAGGAGAAGGAGG